rnacentral:rRNA from 1 species
UACGGGGGGAGCAAGCGUUGUUCGGAUUUACUGGGCGUAAAGGGCGCGUAGGCGGUCGUGACAAGUCACUUGUGAAAUCUCCGGGCUUAACGUCGGAACGGUCAAGUGAUACUGUCGGACUAGAGUACAGAAGGGGCGAACUGGAAUUCUCGGUGUAGCGGUGAAAUGCGUAGAUAUCGAGAGGAACACCUGCGGCGAAGGCGGGUUGCUGGGCUGAUACUGACGCUGAGGCGCGAAAGCCAGGGGAGCGAACGGG